rnacentral:rRNA from 1 species
AUGUCAGGCGACAAAGUCCUAGGACCGGAUGGGUUCACCAGGGCUUUGUUUAAAGCUUGUUGGAACAUUGUCAAAGGUGACAUCAUGAUGGCCAUCAACCACUUUGCGAACCUCCAUGCCUCUCAUUUCCACUGGUUGAACUCCGCGAGUGUCACCCUUCUUCUGAAGAAAGAUGGUACCGAGGACAUCACCGACUUCCGUCCCAUUAGUGUUAUCCAUGUCGUUGCUAAGAUCACUAACAAAUUGAUGUCCAACAUCCUUGCCCCUCACAUGAGUCUAGUCUCACAAGCUCAAAGCGCAUUCAUUAAAAGAAUGUGCAUCCAUGAUAAUUUCAUGUAUGUGCGCAACCUCGCGCAACGACUCCACCAUAAGAAAACCCUCACGCUUCUUUUCAAGCUGGACAUCAAUAAAGCAUUUGACUCUAUGAGAUGGGACUUCCAGCUUGAUUUGCUCCAACAUCUUGGUUUCCCCCUCGAUUCCGAGGUUGGGUCUCUCUUGUCUAUGGAUUCUUCGUGUGUUCUGCUCAACGGUGUUCCUGGUACCCCAAUAAAGCUUAGGUGUGGUUUGAGGUAGGGGGGCCACUCUUCCCUCUACUCUUUGUGCUUGCCAUAG